CUUCAUCUUCACCGGUUGCGAUAGUAACUUUGCUACUGCUUCCUCCUCUUCAUCAAUCAAUGAUGCUAUUAAAUCUCAUAUUUAUUGUUUCGUUAUACCUUCCUCUUCUUCUCCUCAUAUAUAAAAUCUAUCAUAUCUUCGUAGAGAAUUACUUUGAACCAAAUUCAGAAACCUCCUUUCAAGAAUCUCAAGAUAUGGCGAUUGUUAGCUCUUUACCUUUGUGAGUUUACAACUGCUGCAGUAUUUUUUGAGAUCUGAACGGAAGAUUUUUCGUGCCACUUUGAAGGAGCACCCCCAAGAACGAAUAUGUUUUUCUUGUACUAGCGAGGUCGUACUCUCGGAUCUCUGGCCUAUCUGCCUAACGCAAAGCUUGGAUCUGUAUUGCAGGACUAAUUUUGUUUCUUAGCCUCUGUCUAAUGAUUAUGAAACAACCAUAAAGCUCUUUACCCGUCAUCUCCAGAAUUCAAUAAAUAAAGCAUUUUCACUACAAUCUGAUUUGGUCAAUAGUUUGACUUAUAACAUCUUCCUCAUAGGGGUUUUGAUGGUUUCAGGCUUAGUUGUUUGUUUAAACUAGGUCUAAAGCUCCAACCUUAUUUGAUUUGUUUUUGUUUUUGUUGUUCUUUUCAGUUGGUGUAUAUGAUGAUGAGAAUUUUAUUCUUAAGCUUAAGGUUGGACUGAAAAAUGUCUGCAUAGACGACCAAGCAGACACUGUCACAUUCUUUGAAGGUUAUCAAGAUAUCAGUAGGAGAGGCAUCACACAUGACAGCUAUGAAUCUGAAGUUUGGCACUAUAAUAUAGGAGUUGCGAAGCGGAUCGGCGACGGCUCCACCGAUUUAGAUGCUCCGUGAAGGAUUACGCUUGGGGCAAAAUCGGGGGUUGGAUUCACUCGUGUAAAGAGUCUUCCGAUGGACUGAUCGAUUCGACAAGACCGUACGCGGAGCUUUGGAUGGGGACGUCCGAGUUACUUGGAGGAUGAUGCUGAUGGCGUCACGCUUAGAUCGUGGAUUGCUGAAAACCCUGAGGCUCUUGGAGAAAUGGGGUAAUGAAGUCAUGGUUCGCCAUGAACUUGGACAACGUCAGGAGUCACUCUUGAGAUUCAGAUAUUUGAGGAUUUCAAAUGGUUUAAUGCUUCUUAUGUUCCUGUCUUCGAGGGGCUACAAGAAUCUGAUAGGCAUAUCUAUUAUUUCUCUUCACACAACGAUAAUGGACGAAGACAAAUCAAAUUCAAAAACCCCAAAUAUCUCAUGAGAUGUAAUAUUCUUCAGUCCCAGCUUAGAGAUCUCUGACAUAUUUUGAUAUUUGAGCUUCUAGGCAUUUCACAGACGGCUAUGAGUGAUGUUCUUCGUGAGUAUGUGGAAUCACACGUGUGGAAGAAGAGACCAGAUUAAAAGUUGAUGCAGCUGCGAACCAACAAGAAAAACAAACCAAGAGAAUCUAAUGAAUCCAGCUUAGUGUUUCAGUGUAUACAAUGGGAUAUAUAUAUAAAACACUAGCUGAAUAAAGAAGGUUAGCCAGAAAAUGAAAUGGCAGAAUUGAAGAGGCAGCUCAUGUCCCCAAUGUCUACCACAGUUACAUCAAAAGAUGGUGCAAGGAAACUGGGGUUUGUGAGCCGGUUACAGGGAAUGUGCAAGGUACUGAGCUUCCUGAACAGUGUGAUGAUGAUCUGUUGGAGAAGACAAAGUAGAGAUCGCUCAUAAAGAAGUCCAUGAUACUAUGUUUGGAGGACCUGCCAGAAAUAGAGAGGAAGCCGGUAAAGAAGCUAAAGAAGACGUUGAAAAUGGUAACCAAGGCUUUGGGUGUGCUAGAGAGGACAAAUAGACACAAACUAGCUCAGUGAGUAAAUCAUGUUGACUAAUUACUUGUGAUACAGUUUGGAAUUAUAAUAUGCAGAACAUGAUCGUAUUAUUAUCGUGAGAAAUUAUGUACUUCUGUUUUUUCUCAAUUCCACCAUGUUAGUUUAUUGCAGAGUUCUUUGUACUCUUUCCAUUA